UGUAAUGUAGUUUAUAUAAAAUAUUUGUUUUACACACAAAAGAACUCUUUAGAGCUUUACUA
rnacentral:tRNA from 1 species